UCUGCGGGGAGGGAGGUAGCCGCGAGGCCGCCGCCCCUGCCUCCACUGGCUCCCAGGGCUGGUGCCCUUGCGGAGCCCAGCGGCUGGCUUCCUGAUCUUGCAGAAGGACCAGCAGUUCCUGGGCGGCUAUUUCUGGAGGGUAUAUUUGGAAGUGCCUUGAAGGCUCAGCCUGGAGAGUUUCUUCAUACAGGCUCUGUGUCCCCUAAUAAGUUUACACUGGCCGGAGUGGAUUCUGUUCGCUGCCACUCAGCGAUAAUGGGUACACAGGGAGAAGGAGAUGCGGAGGCGGGCAGAAACAGAAAGUGAUUCAGAGAGGUUGCCGGAUAAAAUCCAGGAUGCCCAGCUGCCUUUGGAUUUUAGAUAAGCAACAGCUAAUAUUUAGUUUGGAGGGGUCUCUACAAGUGACCACCGUGUGCUGAGCAUCUCUUCUGUGUCAGGUACUGAUGGGGUGAUGCGCUCGUGGAAUCCUUCUGGAAUAUUCCAGAAGGCAGACGUUAAGGAACCCUCACAAGUGGCCUGUCUUCCUGCCAGAGACUCUCUCCCCUUUGCCUCGUCUGCGCAAGUAUAUGGGAGCGGGGAAAGGGAGAGAAAAGCAGGAGUGCGCGCAGUUCCCUUCCCCUCCGCCUCCUACCCAUUCGGGGCCACGCUUCCAGGGCCCCUGCCGCAAGCCCACCUGCCCGGUGAGCGCCGUGGUCAUGGCAACCAGAGAGGCUGGGAGAGUGAUUGGUCCCCUCGCUGCCACGCCCCUACGCCACCGCUUCCCAGUAACUGAGGCAACCAAGAGGCACGGCCCUCCUCCUUUCAUCCCUCCUAGAGAGCGCUGUGUAGGAGAGGGACGUGCCUUCUCUCUCGCUAGCGAAAUGCCACUUCUCCAAAAUGGUGGCUACUCUCAUACAAGAAUUCAUGGAGAGAGGGAGUAUGAAGUCAUUUCUAAACUCUUCUGGAUGAGGAUGGGCUGUCACUGAAGCCACUUCCGGUGAGAACAGGAAGUGGGAGGCAGGUUGCUCUGGGAGACAAUGGGAUGAGGUGGAAGGAAAGAGAGGGUCUAGAGAAUCCCAGGAAGGAGGGAUAAGUUGGGGGAGGGGGCUGUCUGGGCCAAAUUCUCCCAAACUUUCACUCUCUCUGAAUCAAGCCCGCUCCAAGAGAUUUGGAGUCCCUAGGCUGAUUCCCUAAUAAUAGGACUAACUACUACCAUGCAUUUGAUUGACAAACCUCUUAUCGGCGUUACCCCGUUAAACUUCCACAGUAACCCAGUGGUAUGGGAGAAGUGUCUUCUCCGAACCUCACCGGUUUUACAGAAACCCAGCCUUUGCCCCUGCUGACCUGCUUGG